rnacentral:rRNA from 1 species
GACGAACGCUGGCGGCGUGCUUAACACAUGCAAGUCGAACGGAAAGGCCCUGCUUUUGUGGGGUGCUCGAUUGGCGAACGGGUGAGUCACACGUGAGUAACCUUCCCUUGACUUUGGGAUAACUUCAGGAAACUGGGGCUAAUACCGGAUAGGAGCUCCUCCGUCAUGUUGGGGUUUGUACAUUUUCGGCUGUUGGGGUUGGACUCGCGGCUUAUCAGCUUGUUGGUGGGGUAGUGGCUUACCAAGGCUUUGACGGGUAGCCGGCCUGAGAGGGUGACCGGCCACAUUGGGACUGAGAUACGGCCCAGACUCCUACGGGAGGCAGCAGUGGGGAAUAUUGCACAAUGGGCGGAAGCCUGAUGCAGCAACGCCGCGUGCGGGAUGACGGCCUUCGGGUUGUAAACCGCUUUCGCCUGUGACGAAGCGUGAGUGACGGUAAUGGGUAAAGAAGCACCGGCUAACUACGUG